UAAUGAUAGAGGCGCGGUGACUAUGAGUAACUCACAGAGAGGCAUCGAAGAAGUGGGGGAAAGGAUUUACCGCCGAAGGGCCGGGUUCGGCAGAAACCGGCAACUGGGCCUGGGGUGAACAACCACAGGACUGUCGUUGCAUGGUAACACGCCAGAGCGACGGAGAGCUAUUU
rnacentral:ncRNA from 1 species